AUUUUCUUAGUAUAAAAAGUACAAUUGGCCUCCAACCAAAAGGUUAAAAUUUAAGAAAAUA
rnacentral:tRNA from 1 species